rfam:Oryctes borbonicus contig4081, whole genome shotgun sequence.
UAGUGUAGUUGGUACCGCGCCCGUCCGUCAAAUGGGUGUCGUAGGUUCGAAUCCUAC